rnacentral:rRNA from 1 species
CCUACGGGAGGCAGCAGUGAGGAAUAUUGGUCAAUGGGCGCGAGCCUGAACCAGCCAAGUCGCGUGAGCGAAGACGGUCCUAUGGAUUGUAAACCUCUUUUGUCGGGGAGCAAAAGACGCCACGCGUGGCGUUCCGAGAGUACCCGAAGAAAAAGCAUCGGCUAACUCCGUGCCAGCAGCCGCGGUAAUACGGAGGAUGAGAGCGUUAUCCGGAUUUAUGGGGUUUAAAGGGUGCGCAGGCGGAAGAUCAAGUCAGCGGUAAAAUUGGGAGGCUCAACCUCUUAGAGCCGUUGAAACUGGUUUUCUUGAGUGAGUGAGAAGUAUGCGGAAUGCGUGGUGUAGCGGUGAAAUGCAUAGAUAUCACGCAGAACUCCGAUUGCGAAGGCAGCAUACCGGCGCUCAACUGACGCUCAUGCACGAAAGUGUGGGUAUCGAACAGGAUUAGAUACCCGGGUAGUC